GGCGCGCUGUCUGUUUGGCCGAAUCCAACUCCAUACCGAGAAAAGAGAUCCUCUGCAUUGGGGAGAGCUUGCUCUUUUCCCAGUUGACCCUAAGCCCCAACUGGCUGAGAUGCUCCCAGUGUUCGCACAACAGAUCUCGUGAGUGAGCUAAUAUAAGCCAGUCGUCAAGAUAUCUGAGGACUCAGAUG